AAGGCUUGACAUGUUCGGCAAAGUUGCUGAAAGGCAAUAGAUGUUAUCCGAACACAGGUGCUGCAUGGCCGUCGUCAGUUCGUGCCGUGAGGUGUAUGGUUAAGUCCUAUAACGAACGCAACCCUUGGGCUUAGUUACCAGCAUUCAGUUGGGGACUCUAAGCCGACUCGCCGAGUAAGUCGGGAGGAAAGGGAAAGGAUGACGUCGUGGUCGUCAGUCGGUCCCUUAGUCGUCCGUUGGGCGACACACGUG
rnacentral:rRNA from 1 species